rnacentral:rRNA from 1 species
UACGUAGGGUGCAAGCGUUGUCCGGAAUUAUUGGGCGUAAAGAGCUCGUAGGCGGUUUGUCGCGUCUGCUGUGAAAACCUAGGGCUUAACCCUGGGCCUGCAGUGGGUACGGGCAGACUAGAGUGCGGUAGGGGAGACUGGAAUUCCUGGUGUAGCGGUGAAAUGCGCAGAUAUCAGGAGGAACACCGAUGGCGAAGGCAGGUCUCUGGGCAUUAACUGACGCUGAGGAGCGAAAGCAUGGGGAGCGAACAGGG